UGUUAAUUGUUAAUUUAGCGACUAGUUUUAUACAACUAGAAUAUAAACGGUCGCUAAACUCGGUCGCUAUUUUUUAGUUUAGCGACCGAAUUAGCAACCAAAACAAAAGAAUGAAUAUUCUUGAGACUCUUGGUCACAAAAUCGGUCGCUAUUAUUUAAUUUAGCGACCGAUAUUGCAACUAAUUUAUAGAUAAAUAGAAUAAUGUGGUUGGUUACUAUUUCAGUCGCUAAAGUUAUGAUCACUAAAUGGAUCGCUAAGUUAAAAAAAGAUAUUAUCUAAAUUACCCAACCUAACCCUAAGCCACCCAUACCAUUCUCAUCUCCAAUUUUCAGCUCGCGUUCACGUCUUCUUCUCUGCGCCUCUCGCCGCCUAUCAUACGAACCUCUCUCUCUAAUACCGUAUGGAUCAUGGAACCUUCUCGAAGCUUCUUCCGUCUUACUAUUCCAAUUUUGCAAAGAAGCAAAGCAAGCGUAAUCUUUUCUCCGAAACUUGAGAGAAACCAUCAUAGAAGAAACAUAGAGAGUACCUUAGAAACAAAGCAGAAGGAGUCUUUUGCUGGCAUUGAAACAGCACGCACACCAAGUGUUUGCCUUACAUGCACAACUAAAUUAAGUCAGCAACUUCAACAGAGAGCAGAGUCCCCCACUUUCUUAGGCAAGUACUUCUUCUUCCUUUUCUUUGCUUUGACAACUUUCCUUCUUCACUGUCACCAUUGCAUUCAAUUCACAUAGCCAAUGAACUUAUCAACAAGUUCGGCUUCUUGCGUCUUAAUCAAUCUUCAUCUUCCCCUUCCCCUACUAUUUGAUUGCUUUUCCCAAACUAUUUCAUAAUUUGUGUUUACGUUUCAACUUCAACAAGGAUGAUUAACUGUAAUAGAAACAGCUUAUCGCAUUAGGAAUUAGCUCUUUAAUUUGUCAUAUGUUGGCAAAUAUUCUUUUGUUACAAGAAUAGUGUUAAGAAUCAAUAGAAUGUUCCUCACCGAGUAAAGUACUUAUUCUUCAGCUUCUUACCAACACGAAAAAAUGGCUAAUUUUUUUUAUAUUGGAUUAGUGUGUGAGUUGUGUUUGGUUAUGGUGUAUACAGGUGUUAGACACAGGUGUGAGACAGGGAGAAAUUGGACCGUUCCGAGUUCUUAAAAAAUUUAUUGACCACAAAUCGGACCAUCCAAUUAGUUUUUGUCUUUUUUUUUUAUAUUUGAAAUCAAAUCGGUUCAGAUUUUUUUUUUAAUUUUUUCCUUAAAAGAAAAUGAACCCUCCGUUUUUAGAUUUUUUUUUAAAUUCUUCCCUUAAAAGAAAACGGACCCUCCGUUUUCAGAUUUUUCUUUUUUUUUAUUUUUUUUAAAUCAAAACGGACCCUUUGAGUUCUUUGCUGCAAUUCUCGCACAGUCCGAUUUUGCUUUGGCAAGUCCCUCGGUCCGAUUUGCAUGUAAACUGACACCAUACGAAUGUAAAGUUCUCAUCAUCUCCAUAACGCCAUCCAGCACCAAUAUUAGUUCCAUAAUAAAAUUAAUUUCCGCAAAAAAAUUAUGUGAUGCUAUAUAUAGAAAAUUAAUUAUUAUAAAAAUUAGUUAAUAAAAAAAAUUCUUGUGGCCUCUCACUACUUGUCAAACGCGCUCAUACUUACUACUCAGUGGACUACUAAUAAAUUAAUUUGGAAGUGAUUUAUAAUUUACUAAUAAAUUUGUUGUUUCUUUUUCAUUUUCUUAAAUUAGACUGAAAUUAAUUAGUUAAUAUUCUUGUUUCCGUAGGCAUAAAUAAAAUUCUGAAUAUACAAAUUCGGUUUUCUAAUUUUAAACAGGAGGAGCUAGAUACAAUGGCUUAAAAUAAAAAGUUAUUUAAUGAAAAAACAAAAAUAUAUAAAUACAAUAACUAACACAAAAAAUGGUACUUUUUUGUUAUUUAACAUUAUCAGUUUAACUGUUUCAAUUCAUACGGUAUCACCAAAACAAGAAAUUUAAAAACUAGUGUUGCAUUCUUUAUUACUCAUGCAUCAAAGAAUGAUUAAUGGUUUUAAUAAUAAUAAUAAUAAUAAUAAUAUGUAGGAAGAACUACUGAAGAAGUGGUGCCUGGUUUAAAUAAUUGAAUAUGAUAACUUGUAACAAAAGAAUAUUUGCCAACAUAUGACAAAUUAAAGAGCUAUAUAUAUUUAUAAAUAAAGUGUGAAUUUAUUUAUUUAUAAUAAAAAGCUUUUUCAGCAUCUAUUUAUUUAUAUUCGAUUUAAGUAGGUUUUAUUUUAUCUUUUUCUUUAGGUUUGAAGUUGAUUGCGUAGCUUCCAUUCUAUUUUCAAGUUUUGUAAUUGUGUGAGAGUGUCCAACAAAAAAAAUCAUUAAAGAGCACUCCAACACGGUUAGAAUUAUUUGCGAAAACCCACAAACAAAAGGAUGAGACAUGGAUGAAUAAGAAAUCAAAACAUGUUGAAGUGAGUCUAUCUUAAUCAAAAUUUAUAUCUCUCCAUCUGUAUGUAUUAUUUUAAUAUUGCAUUAGGACUAGUGUUUCAGCUCAUAGGGUUGUAACAUCCAAUAGAAAGAGGCCUUGCAAGUUGUAAUUAAACUAUAAAUAUAAGAGGGAAUGAAAAUAUCAUGUUAGUUUAAUUACAACUUGCAAGGCCUCAACACUAAUCCUAUGAGCUGAAACAUUAGUCCUAAUGCAAUAUUAAAAUAAUACAUAGAGAGAGAAAUAUAUAUUUUGAUUAAGAUAGAUUCACUUCAACAUGUUUUGAUUUCUUAUCCACCAUGUCUCAUCCUUGUGUUUGUAGGUCUUCGCAAAUGAUUAUAACGGUGUUGGAAUCUUCUUUAAUGACUUUUUAUACCAAACAUAUAAAUUAAAAAAUCUAUGAAUAUCAGCUACCAAUUAAAGUGUAUAAACUUAUAACAUAAAAGAUCUAAAUUUUUCUAUAACAUCACCAUAUUAGCUUUGUAUUGGGUAACGAAAAUUAAGCCAACAGUAUGAAGAGUCACUCCAAAUCCGCUGCAAUCAGAUGCUCGAUUUAACUUGCCUUGCGUACUCUUUUGUAGAAACCCAGCGUUCAAUAUUCCAAUAAGCACAGAGAGCAUACUACACAACAUCUCAUAUCCAUUGAGGUUUGACACGACUUGCACGAACUUUUCCCAACAAAUUUUUUAGUAAAGUCGCACCUCGCUUCUCAAUUUUUUCGAACCCAAUGAAGAUUUGGAGGAAAAAACUGAUGUUUACUUCAGGAUAAUCAACACAAGUAAGAAUAGUUAUAAGUUGAUAUAUAUUAUAUUUUUCAAAUUUAGAACUAAUUCUUAAUCUACCAAAGAUUAAAUGUUUCUCUAAAACCUACUUCGAACUUUUCCCACCAAAAUUUCCUAGUAGCAUUUGGUAUUUUUUUUCCACGAAGGCCACAGCUGAGAGUAAUGCCCUUUAAUAAUGUCCGAAAUUGCAUGAGCCGCGGUAGGGGAAGGUAAAUAUAUGUAGAUAUUACUUAAUAUCAAUCGGAAUACAAUAUAAAAGAUUAACUUCAAAAAAUAAAAUUAUUGUAGUCUUAUAUGGUGUUAAGGAAGUAAACUUAGAAUGAUAAGACCCUGUUCUAAUAGUAAAAACAGAAUAAAUUUAUCCUAAAUCCAAAAAAUUUGUUAAGAAAGUAAAUUUAUCCCCACAAAAUACAAAAUAGAAUCUGUUGAUGACAACAGAUCAAGCACCAAAGGAGUGAAAUCUUCUUAUAGUGAACAUCAAUAAAUUAAUGAACAAUGACAUAUUACAAAUUAAUAACUAAUCAGAAAUUAUUAAAAAAUGCUAUAAUACUCAUAAAAACUACUAAUAACUAAUCAGAAAUAUAUAUCAUUGAGAUUGGGAUAUAAUAAUAACUAAUCAAACCCAUUCAAAACAAAUUAAUAAAGAUUUUCAAAAUUUGAUUAUUUUUUAAAAAUAGUAAUUACUUUCUUAUUCAAUCAUUAUAUUCUUUAUUAUUUAUACCUGAAUAAAUAUCUAUUUUCUUAUUCUAUUAAUAAGUAGUUUAAUUGUUAUGUACAUUUAUUCUAUAUAAACGUACCCUUCUCUUGCAAAGUCCAGUUUUAGCUUCCUUUGACUUGUCUCAAUAUUUGAAGACGCGUGAGUAGAUAACCACUCCAAUUUGAUUGCCUUCGGUUUCAACUUCAUUGUUAGGUACUUGCUCUCUUGGAUUUGACACUGUUUGAGCAUUUUCAGAGAUACUUGGAUUGGGAAUUAAUGACGGAA